GACGAACCGUGCGAACGUUAUUCGGAAUCACUGGGCUUAAAGGGCGCGUAGACGGGCUCGCGCAUCGGUCGCUGAAAUCCCCCGGCUCAACCGGGGAACGGGCACCGAAAUGGCGGGCCUCGAGUGGAGGAGGGGGACCUGGAACGGCCGGUGGAGCGGUGAAAUGCGUUGAGAUCGGCCGGAACGCCGACGGCGAAAGCAGGGUCCUGGACUCUCACUGACGUUGAGGCGCGAAAGCCAGGGGAGCGAACGGG
rnacentral:rRNA from 1 species